rnacentral:rRNA from 1 species
ACGCACGCUGGCGGCGUGCUUAACACCUGCCCGUCGAACGGAAAGGCCCUGCUUUUGUGGGGUGCUCGAGUGGCGAACGGGUGAGUAACACGUGAGUAACCUGCCCUUGACUUUGGGAUAACUUCAGGAAACUGGGGCUAAUACCAGAUAGGAGCUCCUGCUGCAUGGUGGGGGUUGGAAAGUUUCGGCGGUUGGGGAUGGACUCGCGGCUUAUCAGCUUGUUGGUGGGGUAGUGGCUUACCAAGGCUUUGACGGGUAGCCGGCCUGAGAGGGUGACCGGCCACAUUGGGACUGAGAUACGGCCCAGACUCCUACGGGAGGCAGCAGUGGGGAAUAUUGCACAAUGGGCGGAAGCCUGAUGCAGCAACGCCGCGUGCGGGAUGACGGCCUUCGGGUUGUAAACCGCUUUCGCCUGUGACGAAGCGUGAGUGACGGUAAUGGGUAAAGAAGCACCGGCUAACUACGUG